ACAUUGCUGAGGAGUCCCACCAUAGGACGAGACGGCCGUCCAUUGU
rfam:Schistosoma curassoni strain Dakar, Senegal genome assembly, scaffold: SCTD_scaffold0001346